AAGAGUUGGUAAAAGGGACCAGAAGCGGAAGGCACCUGGAAGGUUGUCAGAUGCCCCAUCAUCACCAGCUCAGUCUAAUAAAAGGCCUCGAAAGUUAAAGGCUUCCGAUGGAUAAUUGGAAGGCUCAAGAUUAGCCCAAAGCCUCUUGUGGGUUCAACUUAAAUAGGCAAGUUUCAGGCGGCAGCAUUGGUCUUAGGGCAUGUGAGCAUGUCAUAGCCUGGCGGAAUGAGAAGCAUGGACAAAGAGGCCUCUGCUGUUGCAAGAUUAGAAAUCUCACAAUGUGAAUGAUUGAUGAUCUGUGUUGUACAAAGCACCACCAGAAACUGUUAAAAUGGUCAACUACUUCCAUUCCUACCUCCUCCACUUCCAUUCCUACCUCCUCCAGUUCAUUAGUUGUGUAUGGCAUUAACUUAAAAUAGUUUAAUCUUAAUACAUUCUGUUUGUGAACAAAUUUGGUUUUUACCAGAAAAUUAUGUUGUGAUUUCUGACGCCUUUUAUUGAACUCGUUUUACUAAUUAACUUGGGGCAGUAAUUUUCUCAGCUAAAAUGGUUGGACCUAUUGCCCGUCCCUCUCCAAGACAGGGAGUCUGCACCUGUCAUGUGAAAAUAAUAAUAAGAGAGUUGAUGAUUUGCACACAGU